rnacentral:rRNA from 1 species
UUAUCCGACCUGAUAGGGUUAUCAGCCACACUGGGACUGAGAUACGGGCCAGACUCCUACAGGAGGCAGCAUCUAAGAAUCUUCCGCAAUGGACGAACGUCUGACGGAUCGACGCCGUGUGGAUGAAGAACGCUUAACGGUUGUAAAAUCCUUUUCUGCGUGAGGAAUAAGCAUCGGAGGCAAUGCCGGUGUGAUGACGGUAGCGCAUGAAUAAGCCCCGGCCAAUUACGUGCCAGUAGCCGCGGUAACACGUAUGGGGCGAGCGUCGUUCGGAAUUAUUGGGCGUAAAGGGCGCGCAGGCGGUCAUGCAAGCUUGGUGUGAAAGACCACGGCUCAACGGUGGAAACGCUCUGAGAACUGUAUGACUUGAGUUUCGGAGGGGGAACUGGAAUUCCAGGUGUAGGGGUGAAAUCUGUAGAUAUCUGGAAGAACAUCAGUGGCGAAUGCGAGUUCCUGGCCGGACAACUGACGCUGAGGCACGAAAGCAUGGGGACCGAACAGGAUCAGAUACCCUGGUAGUCCAACGCGGUAAACGAUGUGCACUAGGUCUUGGGCUUUCGAAGGCUCAGUGCCGCAAGUUAACACGUUAAGUGCACCGCCUGGGGAGUAUGCCCGCAAGGGUGAAACUCUAAGGAAUUGACGCGGGCCCGCACAAGCGCUGGAGCAUAUGGUUUAAUUCGAUGAUACGCGAGGAACCUUACCAGGGCUUGACAUAUACCGGGAUGCGCAUGAGAGUGCGCAGCCCUUCGGGGCCGGUAUACAGCUGCUGCAUGACUGUCGUCAGCUCGUGCCGUGAGGUGUUGGGUUAAGUCCCGCAACGAGCGCAACCCCUGUUGUCUGUAGCCAUCAGCUAGAGCUGGGAACUCAGACGAAACUGCCGGUGACAAACCGGACGCAGGUGGGGACGACGUCAAGUCAUCAUGGCCCUUAUGUCCUGGGCUACACACGUGCUACAAUGGCCGGUACAGAGCGAUGCGAUACCGCGAGCUGGAGCAUAUCGCCGAAAGCUGCUCUCAGUUCGGAUUGGAGUCUGAAACCUGACUCCAUGAAGGUGGAAUCGCUA